rnacentral:rRNA from 1 species
AUUGAACGCUGGCGGCAUGCCUUACACAUGCAAGUCGAACGGUAACAGGUCUUCGGAUGCUGACGAGUGGCGAACGGGUGAGUAACACAUCGGAACGUGCCCGAGAGUGGGGGAUAACGAGGCGAAAGCUUUGCUAAUACCGCAUACGAUCUCAGGAUGAAAGCAGGGGACCGCAAGGCCUUGCGCUCACGGAGCGGCCGAUGGCAGAUUAGGUAGUUGGUGGGAUAAAAGCUUACCAAGCCGACGAUCUGUAGCUGGUCUGAGAGGACGACCAGCCACACUGGGAAUGAGAAACGGCCCAGACUCCUACGGGAGGCAGCAGUGGGGAAUUUUGGACAAUGGGCGCAAGCCUGAUCCAGCCAUGCCGCGUGCAGGAUGAAGGCCUUCGGGUUGUAAACUGCUUUUGUACGGAACGAAAAGACUCCUUCUAAUAAAGGGGGUCCAUGACGGUACCGUAAGAAUAAGCACCGGCUAACUACGUGCCAGCCGCCGCCGUAAUAC